rnacentral:lncRNA from 1 species
UUUUGAAUACAAGACUAUACAACUUUCCUUCAUGAUAAAGUUGCAAGCCAACAAGGACUAUACAAUUUAUCAUGAUAAAGUUGCAAGCCAACACACAAAAACCCGAAAAGAUUAACCCACCAUUUUUAUUUCCUUUACUAAUCCUAUCUUAGACUUUUUCUUUUAUUUUUAAAAGCAUUAUAAUAAUUUUCUAAUCUCAAAACUUAUCUCCUAUGACUUAAUAAUGAUUUGUGGAUAAUAAAGCAUUUUUCAAGUUUUAUACAUUUAAUAAAGCUUAAGCAUUUAUUUAAAUACCUUAAACAAAAAGGCAUUAAAUAAAUACCUAAAUUUUUAUUAUUUUUUUCCUAGGGCUUAAGAAUUUUAAUGCAUAAAGGAAAAUAAAACAAUCCUAAUAAAAUUGGUUUCACUAAUUUUGGACACUUCUAGAAUUUCCUGUGAAUUAAAUGGUGAAAACCGGAUUUAAUCUAUUUAUCUAAUAAAAGAAAAACCUAAGGUUUAUUUAAAAACCCCCGGCCCAAACUUCUCUCACCUAACCUUCUUCUACCCACUAUCACUUCCACCUAGGGUCCAUCCGGCCUCCUAUUCUCCUUCUUCUUUUUUUUUUAACCACAGGUUUUUCUUUUCAUCGCACGGGCCCGCUGGGCCGGUUCCUUCCCUUGGCCCACGACGGUGACUGGCCCUUAUCCUCCUUGCGCCUGCCCCCUUCUCCUUUCAUGCCGCGCGGCCAGUUGGGCCGUCGCCUCCCCUUGGCCCAAGAUGGUGGCUGGCCUUCUCCUUCUCUCCCGCUCCACCUGGGCCUCCCCCACCGGGACUUGGCCUCCCGACCCAAGUUCACUGACCGGCCUGCUCCCCCUCCCCUUUCUUCUCACAAUCUCCCUGGCGCACGGCUUCUUCCUCCCUGCGCCAAAACAGGGGCGCGCGGGGCCGACGGGGGCUCGCCGGCUGGCGGCUCGCCG